rnacentral:rRNA from 1 species
AACGAACGCUGGCGGCAGGCUUAACACAUGCAAGUCGAACGCAUCCUUCGGGGUGAGUGGCAGACGGGUGAGUAACGCGUGGGAACGUGCCCUUCAGUUCGGGAUAACCCAGGGAAACUUGGGCUAAUACCGGAUACGUGCGAGAGCAGAAAGAUUUAUCGCUGAAGGAUCGGCCCGCGUCUGAUUGGCUAAUUGGUGGGGUAAUGGCCCACCAAGGCGACGAUCAGUAGCUGGUCUGAGAGGAUGAUCAGCCACAUUGGGACUGAGACACGGCCCAAACUCCUACGGGAGGCAGCAGUGGGGAAUAUUGGACAAUGGGCGCAAGCCUGAUCCAGCCAUGCCGCGUGAGUGAUGAAGGCCUUAGGGUUGUAAAGCUCUUUCGUCCGGGACGAUAAUGACGGUACCGGAAGAAGAAGCCCCGGCUAACUUCGUGCCAGCAGCCGCCGUAA